rnacentral:rRNA from 1 species
ACUAGGAUUUAUCCUGGGGUCACAAUGGGCUUGAUUUGCAAACUUUAUCUAGCGAGGAACAAUUGGAGGGCAAGUCUGGUGCCAGCAGCCGCGGUAAUUCCAGCUCCAAUAGUGUAUAUUAAUGUUCCUGCAGUUAUUCGAUGCUCGUAGUUGGAUUUCUGGGGGCUGAGAUUGGAAGGUGGCCAAGGUCACCACCGAACUCUUCCUUCAUCCACCUGUUAACGUUGUCCGGGAUUUGUUUCUCGGCUUCAGGCUCAGGUAUUUUACCCUUUCUAUAUAUUCAUUUAUUUAUCUUCUUUUUGAGUAAAUUAUAGUGUUUCAGGCAGGCGUGCGCCGGAAUACUUUAGCAUGGAAUAAUCGAAUUGGACCGUGUAUUCUUAUAGAAUUCUUCCUUAUUUGUUGGUUUCAAGGACACGGAAAUGGUUAAUAGGGAUAGUGUUUUCAGGGGAGGCAUUAGUAUUUAAUUUCCAGAGGUGAAAUUCUUUGAAAUAUUAAAGACUAACUUAUGCGAAAGCAUUUAUUUUGCCAAUAAUGUUCUCAUUAAUCAUUGAACGAAAGUUAGGGGAUCAAAGACGAUCAGAUACCGUCCUAGUCUUAACCAUAAACGUUGCCGACUAGGGAUCGGAGGGCGUGCACAUUCCGCCUUCGGCACCUUACGAGAAAUCAAAGUCUUUUGGGUUCUGGGGGUAGUAUGGUCGCAAGGCUGAAACUUAAAGGGAUUGACGGAAGGGCACCACCAGGAGUGGAGCUUGCGGCUCAAUUUGACUCAACACGGGAAAUCUUACCAGGUCCAGACAUAGCGAGGAUUGACAGAUUGAUAGCUCUUUCUUGAUUCUAUGGGUAUUUAUUUUAAUUUUGGUGGUGCAUGGCCGUUCUUAGUUGGUGGAGUGAUUUGUCUGGUUAAUUCCGUUAAACGAACGAGACCUCAGCCUGCUAAAUAGUUACCUGUCUUUCUUUUACGAGACUUGAUAACUUCUUAGAGGGACGUUGUGUGCAACCACAAGGAAGUUGAGGCAAUAACAGGUCAGUGAUGCCCUUAGAUGUCCUGGGCCGCACGCGUGCUACACUGAUACGUACAACAAGGUAUAUGCAUUUAUGCAUCGAUGCUGCUCCGAAAUAGACACAGCUAAAUCUUCUAAAAUACGUAUCGUGCUGCGGAUAGAUCGUUGAAAUUAUGGAUCUUGAAGGUGGAAUUCCUAGUAAGCGCGGGUCAUCAACCCGCGUUGAUUACGUCCCUGCCCUUUGUACACACCGCCCGUCGCUCCUACCAAUUUCGAGUGGCUCGGUGAACCUCUUUGGACUGUCGAGCAAUCGCGAAAUUAGAGUGAACCUGGUCAC